GACACAAUAUUCUGUUACAUUGUAGCAAAAUGGCGACUGUCAUUCACAACCCCCUGAAAGCACUCGGGGACCAGUUCUACAAAGAAGCCAUUGAGCACUGUCGCAGCUACAACUCUCGGCUCUGUGCCGAGCGAAGCGUCCGCCUUCCCUUCCUGGACUCGCAAACUGGGGUAGCUCAGAACAACUGCUACAUCUGGAUGGAGAAGAGGCACAGGGGACCAGGCCUGGCCCCAGGUCAGCUGUACACAUACCCAGCACGUUGCUGGCGCAAAAAGAGGCGUUUGCAUCCCCCUGAGGAUUCCAGGCUGAAGCUGCUGGAAAUUAAACCUGAAGUUGAUCUGCCUCUGAAAAAAGAUGGGUUCACCUCAGAAAGUACAACUCUGGAAGCCUUGCUGCGUGGAGAGGGAAUAGAGAAAAAAACAGACACUAAAGAGGAAGACACUAUACAAGAAAUCCAGAGGGUUUUAGAAAAUGAUGAAAAUGCAGAUGAAGUGAAUGAGGAAGAAGACUUGGAAGAAGAUAUUCCAAAACGAAAGAACAGGCCUAGAGGACGGCCAAAGACCCCCACCUGGAAAAAAAUUUUCCAGAAAAAUGCUCGGGGAUCUGGAGGUGGCAGGAGACGGAAUGAUGCUGCCUCCCAGGAUGAUCAUGACAAGCCCUAUGUUUGUGACAUCUGUGGCAAGCGUUACAAGAACAGGCCUGGGCUGAGCUACCACUAUGCUCACACCCACCUUGCCAGCGAAGAGGGUGAUGAAGCCCGCGAGCAGGAGACCCGCUCUUCCCCUGUCCACCGAAAUGAGAACCACAAACCCCAGAAAGGACCAGAUGGGGUCAUCAUUCCCAAUAACUACUGUGACUUCUGCCUCGGAGGCUCCAAUAUGAACAAAAAAAGUGGCCGGCCUGAGGAACUUGUAUCGUGCUCAGACUGUGGGCGCUCUGCUCAUUUGGGAAGAGAAGGCAGGAGGGACGAAGCAGCGCCAGCACGCACUACGGAGGACUUGUUCGGUUCCACGUCAGAAAGCGACACCUCGACCUUUCAUGGCUUUGACGAGGACGAUGCAGAAGAGCCUCUCUUGAGCCGAGGAGGUGGCUGUGGUGGCAGGUCUCCCUCUGCAGACAAAAAGGGCGGCUGCUAAAAUAACUAAAAAGACACAGAAACUCUGAGCUGUCCUUUUCACUACUAAGAUUAUUAUUACCUUUUUUUUUUUUUUUUGAUUUUAGGUCCUCUUGGGUUUUUGGUUCGUUGGUUUUUUUUUUUCCUCCUCCCCCCGCCUUUUUUUUUUUUGUUAUUUUUGUUAUGUUUUCCCUGUGGGGUGUACACUGAAAGCACAAACAUUUAAAGCUCUUGACAACUACUUUGAAGAGACAGAAGGUUUCUGAUUUUCCUGGGUUUUUUUCUUUUUUUUUAAAUUUUAAUUUGGUUUUAUCCCACCUCCCCUCCUCUUCUUUCUCUUUGGAAACAUAAAAAGUGGAUUUAAUAUUUUUUUUAAUAGUGAGCAGAGUUGAUUUUCUUGUCUUUUAAUAUAUAUAUCAGCAAACCACAAAAAUACAGAUGGGUUGGAGAACAGACAACAAACCCAAAUAGUUUUUUUUAAUUAUUAUUAUUAUUUAUAUAUUCUAUGUAUUAUUAGAAAAACUACUUUUUAAAUAAAAAAAUAGAAAAAAAACAACAAAAAAAGCAAUGGAUGUCUACUUGAUAAUAGAACUGUUUCUAGAGAACCACUGUGGGCGGACUCUAUCAAGGGACAAGGAAACCCUUGAUGUGAUGGCUUCUGCAUUUUGAGAUUUUGCACUUGCUGUAGCAUGUGAAGUCUGGCUCUUCUCAUACAUCUGCUAUGCUACAGCCUGAAAAUACAAGCAGCACCAUUGAAGACCAUGGCCUUGGGGAACACAUUUCCAUCUCCUUUGGACACCUUUACACUCAAUAGUUCUCCUCCUCCCUGCACCCUUUCAUGUCUUCCCCACGUGUUCUACUUUUUUUUUUCUUUUCCUUCACCUUUCACUUGAUGGAGAGCAAUUUCCAAGCAUAGGGAUGGAAUAUGAAUGGCAAGUCAUAGACAUCACAGACGAAACAAAAGGAGGAGCAGAAUCCUGGAAGAAAUUACAUGGAAAAAUACCUCACCUAUACUUUUCUUUCCAUUUUUAAAUUUCAAUUCACAGCAUUUUUUCCCGUGUUACCCUGUUUUUUCUCUCUGUAGUGUCUCACAAGACACUUUAUUUGCUUUUUAAUAGCUUCUUUUGAAAUAAACCAAAGCAAUACUAAUUAAAGUUCCAAGGGCAAUGGAGAAGAGAGUGACUCCCUUCCCAGCGACUUUCCCAGAAAGGAGGAAACAUACAGCAGGAUUUGAAAGUCAGCCCUGCCCUCGUGGAUUCCAGCAGCCUUCAAGCAAGACAUUUCAGAAGAAGACUGAGAGAAGCCCAGAUGCUUUGAUACUUCUUUCCUUGCCCUGUUUCCUCCAUACCCGAGUUCCAUCUGGCACAGGAGCCUGGACUGUGGGAAGCUGGCUGCCGACUGUUGAGAGAAGUUCUGGGGAUGCCCUAAGCUGGUGCAAUACAAAGAAGUUUUUUGAAGUCUUGAUUUCACUUUCUUUUAAGUUUGUGUAUAAACCCAGGUCAGACUGGAAUUGAUCAACAAUAGAACUGACUGAAAGACAAACAAACUGAAAAAAGACAACUAUUUUAUUUAUUUCGAUAUUUAAGAAAGAAGUGCUGAAGUUGCACAGUAUUUUUGUUUGAAAUACAUUUUACUUCAAAUUUUAAAUGCAAUUUUGUGAAGACAUGAAAUUUUAAAAAGCACUUACUGUAAAAUAAAGACUGAAUAUUUACUUUAAAGAAAAAACUUUUUUUAAAUAAUGAAAAUAAAGGUCAACUCUGCUCUCUCUCUUACUUUUAAGAAGCCAUUCAUACAUGUGCUGGGUAUCUUUGUUUUUUGAAAAUUGGAUGUGGUAAGUGAAGAUUGUUCUGGUUUAUUUUCUCCUUAAUAAUAUUAUCCUGUUAGAUGCUUAAAACUUACUUUGCUGUACUGUGUUAGGCACAAAUCUGAACAGAAACUGUUGGAGUAGCAAAGACCAGGCUCAGUGCUUGAGUUUUUUUUGUAACCAGAUUUUGUGUCCAUUUCAAAGGACUGUCUUCUCCCAGUAGGAUUGAUGUGUCUCUUCUGCAUGGUAAAAGAUGUUUUCUUUUGAGCAAUUCUGUGAAAUACUUCUGCUGAAAGAGGGGCUUAAGAAUUGAAAACAAUUCUGUCCACUUUUUUUUGCUUUGGUAAAUCCACAGCUGAUUGCGAGUUUGUUGUAAGGGAAGUAUCUAAACGUUAGGUGCUCUUGGCAUGGAUCUUGCUGUCAAGGAUGAUGUCAUGUGUAGAAAACUUGCACACUUCAGCCCAUUCUGAAGUGGUAGUGGACUUUGAAAAGCAUACAGGUGCAACUACACAUCUGCAAUAAGCAACAGGGAUUACUAUGCAGGAGAAAAAUAUGAGUUCCCACAGCUGCAAUCCUAAAUUGUCCUGUGAGGCAGCGGGGAGGGAUGGCCACAUCCCAAAUUCUGAGUCCUUAUGCAUUUUCCUGGUGAAAAAGGCAUUCUUCUCCAUGCAAGCACCGGAGGGUUCUGUUGGCCGCCAGAUCUGCUUGCAGUGGAGAGCACAGGUCUGUUCAGUGUCAUAUGUGAUGCACUCUGGUAGGGAUGCACGAUAGCCUUGUAUUCUAGGAGAUGAGUAUUGGACUUGGCUCUGUCUGGCACCCCUGUUACAGAGGAGAAUCAAACUGAGGGCAAACCACACCACCAAUUAUUGGGAUUGACCCUCAGGGCACAGGCAGAAAAAAAGUGUUUUUGCUAACAUGGCUUACUUUGGCUUUCAGAAUGAAAAAACUAUGUCUACAAAAAUGCAUGCUGACUAGGUGAAGCUGACAGAAAACCUGAUACUGUUGUGUAUGUUGUGUUUCCUGCAUACCCAGAACACAAACUCACAUCACUGAGAGGUUUCCAUGUGCCAGUAGCAGCAAAUUGUUCACUCCCUUUCUCAUCUUCCACUUCUUCCCUGAUUAAAACAUAAAUUAAAAAAUAACCAUGUAAGGUAGUCCUGCUCCAACUAAAUUCAAUGAGAAUUUGUGUCCUAAUUGAGUUCUUUAGCAGGAUAGGUUUGCUUUGCUCAUGUUGUUGCUUUCUAAACUUGCAAUGGGGAACUGCCUCUAGAGAAAAAAAAAAAAAAAGAAAUAAAUUUUCAUUUCAUCAAAAUAUAAGACGCACAAUUGUAAUGAAGAUUUGAAAACUGUAGGGUCUGUGUUCAGUUUGUGUAAUAUUCCUUCCAAAUAAAAGUUCUGCUUCCAGCAUCCCUACUGUAUAUUCCUCUGUAAAUAUUACUUUCCCGAAGCAAUUCCACAGUCUUUUUUAGUGGAAAUAAUCUUCUUUUAAAAAGACAUUGUUGAGUAACAUAUAUGUACAUUUACUUUUCUAAGCUCUCCAUUGUUUAUAAUACUCUCUUUGAAGCUUAAAAUAAAACU